rnacentral:rRNA from 1 species
UGGGGAAUAUUGCACAAUGGGCGCAAGCCUGCUGCAGCGACGCCGCGUGGGGGAUGACGGCCUUCGGGUUGUAAACUCCUUUCGCUAGGGACGAAGCUUUUUGUGACGGUACCUAGAUAAGAAGCACCGGCUAACUACGUGCCAGCAGCCGCGGUAAUACGUAGGGUGCGAGCGUUGUCCGGAAUUACUGGGCGGAAAGGGCUCGUAGGUGGUUUGUCGCGUCGUCUGUGAAAUUCCGGGGCUUAACUCCGGGCGUGCAGGCGAUACGGGCAUAACUUGAGUACUGUAGGGGUAACUGGGAUUCCUGGUGUAGCGGUGAAAUGCACAAAUAUCAGGAGGAACACCGAUGGCGAAGGCAGGUUACUGGGCAGUUACUGACGCUGAGGAGCGAAAGCAUGGGUAGCGAACAGG